rnacentral:rRNA from 1 species
GCCUAAAGCGUCCGUAGCCUGCCCUGUAAGUUUUCGGUUAAAUCUGUAUGCUCAACAUACAGGCCGCCGGGAAUACUGCAGGGCUAGGGAGUGGGAGAGGUAGACGGUACUCGGGAGGAAGUGGUAAAAUGCUUUGAUCUCUCGAUGACCACCUGUGGCGAAGGCGGUCUACCAGAACACGUCCGACGGUGAGGGAUGAAAGCUGGGGGAGCAAACCGGAUUAGAUACCCGGGUAGUCCCAGCCGUAAACUAUGCAAACUCAGUGAUGCAUUGGCUUGUGGCCAAUGCAGUGUUGCAGGGAAGCCGUUAAGUUUGCCGCCUGGGAAGUACGUACGCAAGUAUGAAACUUAAAGGAAUUGGCGGGGGAGCACCACAAGGGGUGAAGCCUGCGGUUCAAUUGGAGUCAACGCCAGAAAUCUUACCCGGAGAGACAGCAGAAUGAAGGUCAAGCUGAAGACUUUACCAGACAAGCUGAGAGGUGGUGCAUGGCCGUCGCCAGCUCGUGCCGUGAGAUGUCCUGUUAAGUCAGGUAACGAGCGAGAUCCCUGCCUCUAGUUGCCACCAUUACUCUCAGGAGUAGUGGGGCGAAUUAGCGGGACCGCCGCAGUUAAUGCGGAGGAAGGAAGGGGCCACGGCAGGUCAGUAUGCCCCGAA